rnacentral:rRNA from 1 species
AGAGUUUGAUCCUGGCUCAGAUUGAACGCUGGCGGCAUGCCUUACACAUGCAAGUCGAACGGCAGCACGAGAGCUUGCUCUUGGUGGCGAGUGGCGAACGGGUGAGUAAUAUAUCGGAACGUACCCUAGAGUGGGGGAUAACGUAGCGAAAGUUACGCUAAUACCGCAUACGAUCUACGGAUGAAAGUGGGGGAUCGCAAGACCUCAUGCUCAUGGAGCGGCCGAUAUCUGAUUAGCUAGUUGGUGGGGUAAAAGCUCACCAAGGCGACGAUCAGUAGCUGGUCUGAGAGGACGACCAGCCACACUGGAACUGAGACACGGUCCAGACUCCUACGGGAGGCAGCAGUGGGGAAUUUUGGACAAUGGGCGCAAGCCUGAUCCAGCAAUGCCGCGUGAGUGAAGAAGGCCUUCGGGUCGUAAAGCUCUUUUGUCAGGGAAGAAACGGUGGACUCUAAUACAGAUCACUAAUGACGGUACCCGAAGAAUAAGCACCGGCUAACUACGUGCCAGCAGCCGCGGUAAUACGUAGGGUGCAAGCGUUAAUCGGAAUUACUGGGCGUAAAGCGUGCGCAGGCGGUUGUGCAAGACAGAUGUGAAAUCCCCGGGCUCAACCUGGGAAUUGCAUUUGUGACUGCACGGCUAGAGUGUGUCAGAGGGGGGUAGAAUUCCACGUGUAGCAGUGAAAUGCGUAGAGAUGUGGAGGAAUACCGAUGGCGAAGGCAGCCCCCUGGGAUAACACUGACGCUCAUGCACGAAAGCGUGGGGAGCAAACAGGAUUAGAUACCCUGGUAGUCCACGCCCUAAACGAUGUCUACUAGUUGUCGGGUCUUAAUUGACUUGGUAACGCAGCUAACGCGUGAAGUAGACCGCCUGGGGAGUACGGUCGCAAGAUUAAAACUCAAAGGAAUUGACGGGGACCCGCACAAGCGGUGGAUGAUGUGGAUUAAUUCGAUGCAACGCGAAAAACCUUACCUACCCUUGACAUGUCUGGAAUCCUUGAGAGAUCAGGGAGUGCUCGAAAGAGAAUCAGAACACAGGUGCUGCAUGGCUGUCGUCAGCUCGUGUCGUGAGAUGUUGGGUUAAGUCCCGCAACGAGCGCAACCCUUGUCAUUAGUUGCUACGAAAGGGCACUCUAAUGAGACUGCCGGUGACAAACCGGAGGAAGGUGGGGAUGACGUCAAGUCCUCAUGGCCCUUAUGGGUAGGGCUUCACACGUCAUACAAUGGUACAUACAGAGGGCCGCCAACCCGCGAGGGGGAGCUAAUCCCAGAAAGUGUAUCGUAGUCCGGAUUGUAGUCUGCAACUCGACUACAUGAAGUUGGAAUCGCUAGUAAUCGCGGAUCAGCAUGUCGCGGUGAAUACGUUCCCGGGUCUUGUACACACCGCCCGUCACACCAUGGGAGCGGGUUUCACCAGAAGUAGGUAGCCUAACCGCAAGGAGGGCGCUCACCACGGUGGGAUUCGUGACUGGGGUGAAGUCGUAACAAGGUA